rnacentral:lncRNA from 1 species
AUGCAUGAAAUAGCAUUUCACCCCCCCUUUAACGAUAAAUCCCCUGUUAUGUUUGUACUGGCUACUGUAUACAGGCCACCAGGCCACCAUACAGACUUUAUUAAAGAGUUUGGUGAUUUUACAUCCGAGUUAGUUCUGGCUGCAGAUAAAGUUUUAUUAGUUGGUGAUUUUAAUAUCCAUGUUGAUAAUGAAAAAGAUGCAUUGGGAUCAGCAUUUAUAGACAUUCUGAACUCUAUUGGUGUUAGACCUACUCAUUGUCGAAAUCAUACUCUAGAUUUAAAACUGUCACAUGGAAUUGAUGUUGAUAGUGUUGAAAUUAUUCAGCCAAGUGAUGAUAUCUCAGAUCAUUAUUUAGUUCUGUGCAAACUUCAUAUAGCCAAAAUUGUAAAUUCUACUUCUUGUUACAAGUAUCGAAGAACCAUCACUUCUACCACAAAAGACAGCUUUUUAAGUUAUCUUCCUGAUGUAUCCAUAUUCCUUAGCAUAUCCAAAACCUCAGAACAACUUGAUGAUGUAACAGAAACUAUGGACUCUCUCUUUUCUAGCACUUUAAAUACAGUUGCUCCUUUACGCUUAAGGAAGGUUAAGGAAAACAGUUUGACACCAUGGUAUAAAGAGCAUACUCGCACCCUAAAGAGAGCAGCCCGAAAAAUGGAGCACAGCUGGAGGAAAACAAAACUAGAGGUAUUUCGUAUUGCUUGGCGGGAAAGUAGCAUAUCCUACAGAAAAGCAUUAAAAACUGCUAGAUCUGAUUACUUUUCUUCUAUUUUAGAUGAAAACAAACAUAACCCCAGGUAUUUAUUCAAUACAGUGGCUAAAUUAACGAAAAAUAAAGCCUCAACAAGUGUUGACAUUUCCCAACACCACAGCAGUAAUGACUUUAUGAACUACUUUACUUCUAAAAUCGAUACUAUUGGAGAUAAAAUUGCAACCAUUCAGCCGUCAGCUACAGUAUCACAUCAGACAGUGCACUAUAGACCACCUGAGGAACAGUUCCACUCAUUCUCUACUAUAGGAGAGGAAGAAUUGUAUAAACUUGUUAAAUCAUCUAAACCAACAACAUGUAUGUUAGACCCUAUACCAUCUAAGCUCCUAAAAGAGGUGCUUCCAGAAGUCAUAGGUCCUCUUCUGACUAUUAUUAAUUCCUCAUUGUCAUUAGGAUAUGUCCCCAAAACCUUCAAACUGGCUGUUAUUAAGCCUCUCAUAAAAAAACCACAACUUGACCCCAAAGAACUUGUUAAUUAUAGACCAAUCUCGAAUCUCCCUUUUCUGUCCAAGAUACUAGAAAAGGUGGUAUCCUCACAAUUAUAUUCCUUCUUAGAGAAAAAUGGUAUAUGUGAGGAUUUCCAGUCAGGAUUUAGACCGUAUCAUAAUACUGAGACUGCUCUCCUUAGAGUUACAAAUGAUCUGCUCUUAUCAUCUGGUCGUGGGUGUAUCUAUCUAUUAGUUUUAUUGGAUCUUAGUGCUGUGUUUGACACAAUUGACCACAGCAUUCUUUUGCAUAGACUUGAACACUUUGUUGGCAUCAGUGGAAGUGCAUUAGCAUGUUUUACAUCGUACUUAUAUGACCGCCAUCAGUUCGUAGCAGUGAAUGAAGAUGUAUCAUAUUGA